CGCAUAAAUUUUAAGUUGUGUCGAACAAAAUGUGCCUCGUGAUACUGAUAAAUUCUUUCCUGACGAGAUACCAAAACAUUUUCCCCUCACAAUAUUUCAACAGUGAAGUCGCGUGCUCUAUUUUUUCCUGUCAGCUUUUUUGGGAUCUGAACAAGCGGUGGACAAUUCGUGAGUGAAUAAAUCUUUUGAGUCGGUUCUUUUCGGUUGAAACGGGCUAAAAACGGUUUGAAUCGGUUCUCUAUUAAAUAUGAAUCAUUUUAACAACUCAAGGAAUCGUUUGGAGCGGUGUUUCUCUCCCGCUAAAACAGUAAAACUUCCUUCAGGACGGAAGAGAGAAAAGAGCGCUGGAUUAAGUGAAUGUUAAUCGACAGUCAGAUGAAACAAAACCUGGAAAUAAGUUCAAAUCGUUUGACAGCGAUGUAGAAGAUCGUUAUUAAGUUCAACACUCGCACUUGCAGUUUGCCAACGAUUAACUUCAGGCAUGGAGUUACUUCAACCACUCGCAUAUCCAGGCGAAUCCAGCAGAAGGGUGUUUGUAAUUACUGUUUGAAGGAGAAAGACGAGGAUGGGGCGGUGUUUAUCACAACACACACUGGAGCCUCAGUGUCUUUCCUCUUCACUCUUUUCCUCCUUCAUUCUACUAUCUCUCCUGCGGAGUGGGCGUUAUGGUGGAUGGUGUCGGCAUACAGCUGUCAGAGACCCUGUAACGCCAUCAAACCCGACAUGACGUGAGGGACUGAAGCUGGUUGUGACAGCACCUGACAACUUCUGGAAAGCAGCAGACUCAUCAGCUACCAUGAGCCUCUGCCAAACACCAAUUCCCACCAGCGAGACGGCGAACCAGUUUCCUUUUUUCAUCACCGAAGAUUUCAUCGCAAGCUUACAUGGUAUUUAAAUUAAAUUAAUUUUUAAUCUCCAAAUCACUGAGCAAAUGUUGGGUUUUCAAGCAAAGACCUUUA